rnacentral:rRNA from 1 species
CCUACGGGAGGCUGCAGUAGGGAAUAUUGCUCAAUGGGGGAAACCCUGACGCAGCAACGCCGCGUGGAGGAUGAAGGUUUUCGGAUUGUAAACUCCUUUUGUUAGAGAAGAUAGUGACGGUAUCUAGCGACUAAGCACCGGCUAACCCCGUGCAAGCAGCCGCCGUCCGACGGAGGGUGCAAGCGUUGCUCGGCAUCACUGGGCGUAAAGAGCGCGUAGGCGGGAUAGCAAGUCAGAUGUGAAAUCCUAUGGGUUAAACAUAGAACUGCAUAUGAAACUGUUAUUCUAGAGGAUGGGAGAGGUAGGUGGAACUAUUGGUGUAGGGGUAAAAUCCGUAGAGAUCAAGAGGAAUACUCAUGGCGAAGGCGACCUGCUAGAACAUAACUGACGCUGAUGCGCGAAAGCGUGGGGAGCAAACAGGAUUAGAUACCCCAGUAGUC